rnacentral:lncRNA from 1 species
UUUUUUUUUUUUUUAAAUGGCUGCAUGCACAGUAUAUGGAAGUUCCCUGGCCAGGGACUGAACCUGCGCCUCUGCAGUGACCUGAGCCACUGCAGUUGGAUUCUUAACCCAUUGCACCACAACAGGAACUCCCUCCUCUGUUUUAUUUUUCCUUCACCAUGACACUGGUGAGGAGUACUGAGUACUGCCCAGCUAUUUUGUAGACUGCCUCUUCUUUUGGGGUUGGCUUGAGGUUUCCUCCAGAUUAAACUCAGGUGAUGAACUUUGGGGUGGGAGGGGGGAAUAACAUGGAAUAACCUAUCAGGAAGCAUAUGUUGUUAGUUUGCACCAUUCCUGAUGACAACUCAGAUUACUUGGUGUCGGCCAGGUUGCUACUUCUCCCUUUGUAAUUAUUGAAUAUCUUGUGAGGACUUAAAUAGGCAAUUUUUAAAUUUUUUCUAUUUUUUGUCUUUUUAGGGCCACACCUGCGGUAUAUGGAGGUUCCCAGGCUAGGGGUCUAACGGAGCUGUAGCCGCUGGCCUACACCACAGCCACAGCAACACGGAAUCCGAGCCACGUCUGCAACCUACACCCAGCUCACGGCAACGCCGGAUCAUUAACCCGCUGAGGGAGGCCAGGGAUCUAACCUGCAACCUCAAGGUUCCUAGUCAGAUUCGCCUCCACUGUGCCAUGAUGGGAACUCCAUUUUUUUUUUUUUUAAUAGGGAAUGUUUGAGGAAGAGAAGAGACAGAUGGAGAAGAGGGGCAGCCAGCUCUUUCACUCUGUUGCUUAUGAUCUUUCCAUGCAUUAUUGUAAUUUAGUAAACAAAACAGCCUCAAUUUUAGCUAAAAUCCCAGCUGGCAAGUUUCCCGGCUGAAAAGGAAGAGGCCAUGUCACAGUGACCACAGGGGGGCAGCAGAGGAUUGGGAUGAGAUCAAAACUGGGCUCCAGGAUAAAAAGCUGUUCCUUUCCUUCUAAGUAACUAAACUCUCAGGACUCAAAGUCUGCCCUGGGGGGCCAGGUCAGGUAGCACUGGCUGCUCUGGUCAUGUUCGAAGCAUUCUGGAUGCACCACCUCUAAAACAGGGGCUUUAGAUCCUGGGACGGCUGGGGGAGGGGUGUGUCUGAGAAUCCCUUCUGAAAAUGCCUGCAAAAUUCAUAGGCACUAAGGGGGUAUCAGUCUGGGGACUGGUCACUAACCGCCCAAACCACAUCUCUCUUUUUGCUUUUUAGGGCUGCACCCACGGCAUAUGGACGUUCCCAGGCUAAGGGUUGAACCUGAGCUACAGCUGCCGGCCUACACCACAGCCACAGCAAUGUAGGAUCUGAGCCACGUCUGCGAUCUACACCACAGCUCAUGGCAACGUAGGAUCUUUAACUCACUGACUGAGGCCAGGGAUUGAACCCUCAAACCCACAUCUUCAUGGCUACUAGUCAAAUUUGUUUCCGAUGUGCCACAAUGGGAAUUCCCACCUCUUUCAAAGGAGAGCAAAUGGAUAAUUUGCUGAACAAUGAGGAUGCUCAUAAGAUCAGAGAGAAAAGAGAAGAAACUGGGCAGCUCCAGUGGGUCUAGGGAAUUGGUGGAGCACCUCCCCAAGACUGCCCAAACUUCACAUGCUUUGGCUGCACCCACAGCAUGCAGAAGUUCCUGAGCCAGUGAUCAAACCCAUAUCACAGCUGCAACCAGGGCCACAGCAGUGACAAAGCCAGGUCCUUAACCCACUGAGCCACCAGGGAACUCCUGAGAAACAAUUGUUGAGUGCUUGGUGUAACAUAUACACACUACUAUAUAUGAAAUAGAAAACCAACCUGCUAUCUAUACUGUACUUUCUAUAAAUCAACUUAUUUAAAUCUCACAACAACACUGCGGGGUAGGCAUUUUUAUUACCUUUUUCCCCUAAUGGGGAAACUAAUAUAAGUAAUUCACCUGAGGGCACACUUAGUGUCCUAGCCCCACUGCCUCUCCAGGCAGGUGGGGAUCCAGGAGUGGCAAGGAGGAAGGAGACAGUGGCUGUGUUAGGGGCAUGUUGAGGGCGUCAAAGUGAUGGACACAAUGUGGGUGGCCCUGGCUCUUGGCUUGAACAGUGGGAUGGAUGGUGGGGCAGAUACUGUAAGAGAUGCGGGUGGGAAGCCUGGAUGAUGAGAUGCUGGUCUCCUGUCUUGCUCUUUGUAUGGCGAAGCACCCACAAACCUCUGAGCAGCGGGUAUGGGCAGCGGCAGAGCAAGUCAGUAGCACUUGGAUGAGGUCACAGAAGGUAUGGAAGGAGCAGGGCCCAGACGCAGGGGGCAGCAGCUGGUGAAGUGGGAAGAAAACUGAGACAGGGACACUCCCUGCCAGGGAAAAUCUCUCCCUUUCUUAGCACCCCUGCAGCCGGGUGGAGGCAGGAACAUCCAUGGGUAGCCCUCAACUCACCCAACUGCGGCUUACUGAACUCUGACUAGAGGCUGUUAGGGUUUUAAUGAUCACCAGGAACCCAGGUUCCUUCUAUCUCACUGCUUUGCCAUCCUUAUUUUGUGAUGUCUGCCUCGAAGUUCAAGAUAGCUGUUGGUGCUCCAGCCAUCCUGUCUGCAUUCCAGCCAACAGCCUCAAUUUUCCCCUAUGUACUAUGGAGGGUAACAACUACCUUGGAAGAUAGUCCCAAAGUAGAGGAGAAUGGACUGGAGCAUCUGGUGAGAAGCCACCAUGUUCAAUCGGAAUCUCUUGGAGGCUUUUGGUGGGACUGGGUUCUUGUCCUUGUGCAGGGCCUGUGCCCUGGGGCCAACCAGUGGGCCAUCCAGGACAUUGAUAGCCCUUGGGACUUCAGCAAGCCCCCCUCCUCCUCUCUUCUCUUGGGGCAGGAAACACAUGGGCAUCACUUCAUGAGCCCCACCAGCCACUCAGGUCCUCAGGGUAGGGCCUUGCUCUCCCCUUCCAGGGACCCUGCCGCCCAGCACUGGGCCUGGCUCUCCAAGGAGGGAGGUUGGGGGCAAGAGCUUGUGCGGCUCAGAGGCCUCAGGCUGAAAUUGUCAACCAAGAGGGAAUGGGGACGAGUCUGGCUUCCACUGGGUUCUUGGAGCCUGGCAGAGAGUCAGCACAGAGUCAGGGCCUGGCCACCUGACUGAAGGCUGGAUGGUUGGGUCCUGAGAGUUACUCCCCAGGAUUGGCCACAAUAUUUGCGGGGCCCAGAGUGAAAUGAAAGCAUGGGCCCUUUCUUGGAAAAUUUUUAAGGAUUUCAAGCAAGAUGGUUUAAGAGUUUGGGAUUCACAGAGUUCCCCCUAUAGCACAGCGGGCUAAGAAUCUGACUGCAGCAGCUUGGGUCGCUGUGGAGGUGCAGGGUCAAUACCCAGCCUGGCACAGUGGGUUAAAGGUUCUGGCAUUGCCAUGGCAUAGGUCACAGCUAUGGCUCAGAUUCAAUUCCUAGCCUGAGAAAUUCCAUAUGCCGCAGGUGCAGCCAUAAAAU